rnacentral:rRNA from 1 species
GACGUAGGGCGCGAGCGUUGUCCGGAUUUAUUGGGCGGUAAAGAGCUCGUAGGCGGCUCAUUGCGUCGAACCCGUGAAAACCCUGCCGCUUAACGGUAGGCUUGCGGUUGAUACGGGUGGGCUGGAGUUCGGUAGGGGAGGACUGGAAUUCCGUGGUGUAGCGGUGAAAUGCGCAGAUAUCAGGAGGACACCGGUGGCGAAGGCGG